rnacentral:rRNA from 1 species
GUGGGGAAUAUUGGACAAUGGGCGAAAGCCUGAUCCAGCCAUGCCGCGUGUGUGAAGAAGGUCUUCGGAUUGUAAAGCACUCUAAGUUGGGAGGAAGGGCAGUAAGUUAAUACCUUGCUGUUUUGACGUUACCGACAGAAUAAGCACCGGCUAACUUCGUGCCAGCAGCCGUGGUAAUACGAAGGGUGCAAGCGUUAAUCGGAAUUACUGGGCGUAAAGCGCGCGUAGGUGGUUUUGUAAGUUGGAGGAGAAAUCCCCGGGCUCAACCUGGGAACUGCCUCCAAAACUGCAUGGCUAGAGUACGGUAGGGGGUAGUGGAAUUUCCUGUGUAGCGGUGAAAUGCGUAGAUAUAGGAAGGAACACCAGUGUCGAAGGCGACUACCUGGACUGAUACUGACACUGAGGUGCGAAAGCGUGGGGAGCAAACAGGAUUAGAUACCCGUGUAGUCC